GAUGAGCCCGCGGCGUAUUAGCUAGUUGGUAGGGUAACGGCCUACCAAGGCUGAGAUGCGUAGCUGGUCUUAGAGGAUGGUCAGCCACACUGGGACUGAGACACUGCCCAGACACCUACGGGUGGCUGCAGUCGAGAAUCUUUCGCAAUGGGGGAAACCCUGACGAAGCGACGCCGCGUGAGCGAUGAAGGUCUUCGGAUUGUAAAGCUCUGUCACGAGGGACGAAAAGUUCGUUGGUGAACAAUCAGCGGAUGUGACGGUACCUCGAAAGGAAGCCCCGGCUAACUCUGUGCCAGCAGCCGCGGUAAUACAGAGGGGGCAAGCGUUGUUCGGAUUUACUGGGUGUAAAGGGUGCGUAGGCGGUCUGAUAAGUUAGAUGUGAAAUCCCACAGCUUAACUGUGGAACUGCAUUUAAUACUGUCGAACUAGAGUACGAAAGAGGGAGAUGGAAUUCUCGGUGUAAGAGUGAAAUCUGCAGAUAUCGAGAGGAACACCAGUAGCGAAGGCGAUCUCCUGGGUCGAUACUGACGCUGAGUGCACGAAAGCUAGGGGAGCAAACGGGAUUAGACACCCCGGUAGUCCUAGCCGUAAA
rnacentral:rRNA from 1 species